CAGAAUUUUGUGAUUUUGUAAUCCCUUGGGAACCAAUGAAAUCCCAGAUGAGUCUAGUUAAUAAUCUACAAUUAUUGGUUAAAGAACUAUAUUAGGGCUGAUUUGCUGCCGUCCAUCCACUUUUCUAUCCACCCCACAAGCAUUGGGCACAAUGAAGUGGGUAACCUUUAUUUCCCUUCUCUUCCUUUUCAGCUCUGCUUAUUCCAGGGGUGUGUUUCGUCGAGAAGCACACAAGAGUGAGAUUGCUCAUCGAUUUACAGAUUUGGGAGAAGGACAUUUCAAAGGCCUGUAAGUUAAAGAAUCAACAUUAAUGUUCUUGAUAGCAUUGGUUACUACUCUGAAGUCGUCAUAUUCCAGAUUCUAGCAGAGUACCGUCCAACAGAAUUUUCUCCAUUGAUGGAAAUAUUCUAUAUCAGUCUGUUUGAUAUGGUAGCCAUGGCCCACACGUGGCUAUUGAAUACUUUAAAUAUGGCUACUGAGGAGCAAAACUUCUAAUUGUUUUUAAUUUUAAUUAAUUAAAUUUAUAAAAUCACAUAUGGUUAGUUUCUAUUAUUGGACAUUGAAACUAUGGAACUUUCAUGCAGCAGUGAGAAGGACAGUAGUAUAUAUCUCUGUUGUCAGCCUACUUGCAAGGGGAAUCCUUUUACAUAGCAAGUAGUCCUGUAGUUUCUUGGGAACAUUUUAAUAACUUUUUAACCUAGUAAAAAUGCUUAUCUUUUUUGAAGGGUCAGUAUUGUCAUACAGCCUCAUUAAAUGAGAUGUUUAGGCUUUGUGGGGGUUUGUGUGUGUGUAUGUGUGUGUGUGUGUGUGUGUGUGUGUGUAUGUGUUUUAAAUAACUGAAAGGACUUAUGUAAUGUCUCAUCUUAACAAAUCAAUCUACUUAUUAUAUAUCUGCCUUUUGCCCUAAACAUGUGUAUAUACUGGUAUGCACACAUAUACACUCAGAUAUGGUGGAACUACAUAUCCUCUUUGCUGAGGAAGUUGCAUAUACUUUGUUAGGCCUUUUCUAAUACCUGACAUGAAGAGGUUACCUAGAAAAUUAUAACAGAG
rnacentral:lncRNA from 1 species